GUGGUGCAGAUAUCUCUCAAGACUUUUCCUAGAGAAAAGAAAUUGCAAUGCCGUAAAAAUCGCUUGCUAGGUCCGUAAAUCUCAGUGAAAUCCUACAAUAAAAUGUCCGCUCCUAGAUUGAAAUACUAAUCUGUGUUACAAACAGGUGCUGAAAAAUGUACAUUAUCAGAAAAUAAUCCUUAAAUGUGUAUUAAAGUUACACCGGAUCAAUUAAAUCCAAAACAUGCACUGCUGGUGAACUGUGAUCAAAAUGUCAAUUUCCUACAAUGACAAAAGAAAUGACAUUGUGUACAUUCCGUAUCUAUACAUGUUGUCUAUUCAACGUCCCCACCUAAAAAGGAAUAAAUAUACUAAGUUUUCGUUAUUAUAAACCCACGUCACGUGAUGUCUCCUCAAUCUGGUGCGAGAAGUCGCGCGCUGGACCUGAAAUAAAAUAAAAACUUUCCGAACUAAACAUGAAACUUCCCCAGAAUAAUAUAGACCCCUUACAGAAACAAACAAACAAACAAACACACACACACAUAACAAACAAUCAUGUUUCAAAGGGGGAAAGACCGUUUACAAUUGCUUUUUAAAAGCAAUUGAUUUAUAUUUAAUGUUUAGUUUUGUCCUUUCGUUUAAAUUUACAAUAAAAACUGAACGCAAUAAUUUUUUGAUCUUACAGUUAUCAUGAAAAUGACAUCAACAGUAUUAGAAAUAAUUAAAAUUUAAUAAAAAUGGAAGAAAACAACAUUAUCAGUUGAAAAAGCAUAAUAAUAUAUAUAGGUAAUGGUAAAUUCAAAAACAAAAAAAGCACAAAAGGGUCUGUGCAUCUCAUUUACUUGUUAAAAACAGAAAUGAUGAAAAAC
rnacentral:lncRNA from 1 species